GAUGAAGAACGUAGUGAAAUGCGAUAAUUAAUGUGAAUUGCAGAAUUCAGUGAAUCAUCGAGUCUUUGAACGCGCAUUGCGCCCCCUGGUAUUCCGGGGGGCAUGCCUGUCCGAGCGUCAUUGCUGCCCUCAAGCACGGCUUGUGGGUUGGGCUUCCGUCCCUGGCAACGGGGACGGGCCCAAAAGGCAGUGGCGGCACCAUGUCUGGUCCUCGAGCGUAUGGGGCUUUGUCACCCGCUCCCGUAGGUCCAGCUGGCAGCUAGCCUCGCAACCAAUCUUUUUAACCAGGUUGACCUCGGAUCAGGUAGGGAUACCCGCUGAACUUAAGCAUAUCAAUAAGCGGAGGA
rnacentral:misc_RNA from 1 species